GAGACAGAGAGAGAGAAAGAGAGAAUUUUGAGGCUGUAAUUUGAUACUUGCAAGAGAAAUUAAGAGACCCAUAUAUUGGCGGGGGACCCGGAACGCAACCCGAGGAAAAUGCUAAGGUGGCCCUCUGAGAAGAAGAAAGUUGGGAAAUUUUCCAGGGAGUUCAAAAAGAGAAAUGGAGGUUAAUUGAGAGAAGGGAUUUUUUGUUAAGGGUGGUUGCCCCUCUCUGUUGUGCCAAUGAUUUUCCUUUUAGCAACUAAACCAACAGCCCUUGUUCAUGCAAUACAGAG
rnacentral:misc_RNA from 1 species